CCUACGGGAGGCAGCAGUGGGGGAUAUUGGACAAUGGGGGGAACCCUGAUCCAGCGACGCCGCGUGAGUGAAGAAGUAUUUCGGUAUGUAACGCUCUGUCAGCAGGGAAGAAAGAAAUGACGGUACCUGACCACGAAGCCCCGGCUAACUACGUGCCCGCAGCAGCGGUAAUACGUAGGGGGCAAGCGUUAUCCGGAAUUACUGGGUGUAAAGGGAGCGUAGACGGUUAAGUAAGUCUGGAGUGAAAGGCCGGGGCCCAACCCCGGGACUGCUCUGGAAACUAUUGAACUUGAGUGCAGGAGAGGUAAGCGGAAUUCCUAGUGUAGCGGUGAAAUGCGUAGAUAUUAGGAGGAACACCAGUGGCGAAGGCGGCUUACUGGACUGUAACUGACGUUGAGGCUCGAAAGCGUGGGGAGCAAACAGGAUUAGAUACCCCUGUAGUC
rnacentral:rRNA from 1 species